GGGUUGUGAGGUUAAGCGACUAAGCGUACACGGUGGAUGCCCUGGCAGUCAGAGGCGAUGAAGGACGUGCUAAUCUGCGAUAAGCGUCGGUAAGGUGAUAUGAACCGUUAUAACCGGCGAUUUCCGAAUGGGGAAACCCAGUGUGUUUCGACACACUAUCAUUAACUGAAUCCAUAGGUUAAUGAGGCGAACCGGGGGAACUGAAACAUCUAAGUACCCCGAGGAAAAGAAAUCAACCGAGAUUCCCCCAGUAGCGGCGAGCGAACGGGGAGCAGCCCAGAGCCUGAAUCAGUGUGUGUGUUAGUGGAAGCGUCUGGAAAGGCGCGCGAUACAGGGUGACAGCCCCGUACACAAAAAUGCACAUACUGUGAGCUCGAUGAGUAGGGCGGGACACGUGGUAUCCUGUCUGAAUAUGGGGGGACCAUCCUCCAAGGCUAAAUACUCCUGACUGACCGAUAGUGAACCAGUACCGUGAGGGAAAGGCGAAAAGAACCCCGGCGAGGGGAGUGAAAAAGAACCUGAAACCGUGUACGUACAAGCAGUGGGAGCACGCUUAGGCGUGUGACUGCGUACCUUUUGUAUAAUGGGUCAGCGACUUAUAUUCUGUAGCAAGGUUAACCGAAUAGGGGAGCCGAAGGGAAACCGAGUCUUAACUGGGCGUUAAGUUGCAGGGUAUAGACCCGAAACCCGGUGAUCUAGCCAUGGGCAGGUUGAAGGUUGGGUAACACUAACUGGAGGACCGAACCGACUAAUGUUGAAAAAUUAGCGGAUGACUUGUGGCUGGGGGUGAAAGGCCAAUCAAACCGGGAGAUAGCUGGUUCUCCCCGAAAGCUAUUUAGGUAGCGCCUCGUGAAUUCAUCUCCGGGGGUAGAGCACUGUUUCGGCAAGGGGGUCAUCCCGACUUACCAACCCGAUGCAAACUGCGAAUACCGGAGAAUGUUAUCACGGGAGACACACGGCGGGUGCUAACGUCCGUCGUGAAGAGGGAAACAACCCAGACCGCCAGCUAAGGUCCCAAAGUCAUGGUUAAGUGGGAAACGAUGUGGGAAGGCCCAGACAGCCAGGAUGUUGGCUUAGAAGCAGCCAUCAUUUAAAGAAAGCGUAAUAGCUCACUGGUCGAGUCGGCCUGCGCGGAAGAUGUAACGGGGCUAAACCAUGCACCGAAGCUGCGGCAGCGACACUAUGUGUUGUUGGGUAGGGGAGCGUUCUGUAAGCCUGCGAAGGUGUGCUGUGAGGCAUGCUGGAGGUAUCAGAAGUGCGAAUGCUGACAUAAGUAACGAUAAAGCGGGUGAAAAGCCCGCUCGCCGGAAGACCAAGGGUUCCUGUCCAACGUUAAUCGGGGCAGGGUGAGUCGACCCCUAAGGCGAGGCCGAAAGGCGUAGUCGAUGGGAAACAGGUUAAUAUUCCUGUACUUGGUGUUACUGCGAAGGGGGGACGGAGAAGGCUAUGUUGGCCGGGCGACGGUUGUCCCGGUUUAAGCGUGUAGGCUGGUUUUCCAGGCAAAUCCGGAAAAUCAAGGCUGAGGCGUGAUGACGAGGCACUACGGUGCUGAAGCAACAAAUGCCCUGCUUCCAGGAAAAGCCUCUAAGCAUCAGGUAACAUCAAAUCGUACCCCAAACCGACACAGGUGGUCAGGUAGAGAAUACCAAGGCGCUUGAGAGAACUCGGGUGAAGGAACUAGGCAAAAUGGUGCCGUAACUUCGGGAGAAGGCACGCUGAUAUGUAGGUGAAGCGACUUGCUCGUGGAGCUGAAAUCAGUCGAAGAUACCAGCUGGCUGCAACUGUUUAUUAAAAACACAGCACUGUGCAAACACGAAAGUGGACGUAUACGGUGUGACGCCUGCCCGGUGCCGGAAGGUUAAUUGAUGGGGUCAGCGCAAGCGAAGCUCUUGAUCGAAGCCCCGGUAAACGGCGGCCGUAACUAUAACGGUCCUAAGGUAGCGAAAUUCCUUGUCGGGUAAGUUCCGACCUGCACGAAUGGCGUAAUGAUGGCCAGGCUGUCUCCACCCGAGACUCAGUGAAAUUGAACUCGCUGUGAAGAUGCAGUGUACCCGCGGCAAGACGGAAAGACCCCGUGAACCUUUACUAUAGCUUGACACUGAACAUUGAGCCUUGAUGUGUAGGAUAGGUGGGAGGCUUUGAAGUGUGGACGCCAGUCUGCAUGGAGCCGACCUUGAAAUACCACCCUUUAAUGUUUGAUGUUCUAACGUUGACCCGUAAUCCGGGUUGCGGACAGUGUCUGGUGGGUAGUUUGACUGGGGCGGUCUCCUCCUAAAGAGUAACGGAGGAGCACGAAGGUUGGCUAAUCCUGGUCGGACAUCAGGAGGUUAGUGCAAUGGCAUAAGCCAGCUUGACUGCGAGCGUGACGGCGCGAGCAGGUGCGAAAGCAGGUCAUAGUGAUCCGGUGGUUCUGAAUGGAAGGGCCAUCGCUCAACGGAUAAAAGGUACUCCGGGGAUAACAGGCUGAUACCGCCCAAGAGUUCAUAUCGACGGCGGUGUUUGGCACCUCGAUGUCGGCUCAUCACAUCCUGGGGCUGAAGUAGGUCCCAAGGGUAUGGCUGUUCGCCAUUUAAAGUGGUACGCGAGCUGGGUUUAGAACGUCGUGAGACAGUUCGGUCCCUAUCUGCCGUGGGCGCUGGAGAACUGAGGGGGGCUGCUCCUAGUACGAGAGGACCGGAGUGGACGCAUCACUGGUGUUCGGGUUGUCAUGCCAAUGGCACUGCCCGGUAGCUAAAUGCGGAAGAGAUAAGUGCUGAAAGCAUCUAAGCACGAAACUUGCCCCGAGAUGAGUUCUCCCUGACCCUUUAAGGGUCCUGAAGGAACGUUGAAGACGACGACGUUGAUAGGCCGGGUGUGUAAGCGCAGCGAUGCGUUGAGCUAACCGGUACUAAUGAACCGUGAGGCUUAACCUUACAACGCCGAAGCUGUU
rnacentral:rRNA from 1 species